GCCUGGAAGCGCGGCCGUGAAGGAUCCGGCGGGAGCGGAAGGGGUGCCCUAUUGCUACGCGCCUAUUGCUGCGCGCCGCCCUCCGCUCGCCCUGCGCCCCCCUGCGCCUGCUCUGCCGCGACUUCCACGCCGAGGAGCUCUCCGUCUCCACCGUCGUCUCCCUGCUGGACUCCCUGGAGCCUGCCGCCGUCCGCAGAGUUGUUUUACGCUUCAACAACCUGGGGCUGGCGGGGCUGUGCGCAGUGCUGCCUCACCUCAGCCGCUUCCCCGCGCUGCGCAGCCUCAAGCUGCCCUACAGCAACGUGGACGUGCGCCGCACGGCCCCCGGCACGGACGCCGGCAUCCGCUGCUUGGCCGCUCACCUCCGGGCCCUGCCUGCCCUCAAGGAACUCGAUUUGUACUCCUCCAGGCUUUCUGGGAGACUCAGGCAGCUCCUGGGGUAAGCUGCCCGCUGGGGGAGGGACCCCAAAACCUUCACACGCUGCAGCGGGAGCUGUGCCGGCUGCUGGCGAGCGCGGGUAGAGCAGACGCCGUGUGGGCGACCAGCCUCCAGCGCUACGGAGCCAUCGACUAGUUCAGCUUGUAGCAUCCCCCCCCCAGGGAAGCUUCACCUCGGGGCGCUGUGCCGGGCUCUGGGCUGUGCCACUCGGUUAUGGUGAGUUCAUUAAAGCCAACCCCACCUUGCCCGAUUAA